rnacentral:rRNA from 1 species
GCGAGUCUUUGCAGUAAUGCAAGGCAUACGGCUCAGUAACACGUAGUCAACUUACCCUAUGGACGAGGAUAAUCUCGGGAAACUGAGCAUAAUACUCGAUAGAUCAUAAUGCCUGGAAUGGUUUAUGGUUGAAAUGAUUCGUCGCCAUAGGAUGGGACUGCGGCCUAUCAGCUUGUUGGUGAGGUAAUGGCCCACCAAGGCGAUUACAGGUACGGGCUCUGAGAGGAGAAGCCCGGAGAUGGGUACUGAGACAAGGACCCAGGCCCUAUGGGGCGCAGCGGGCGAGAAAACUUUGCAAUGUGCGAAAGCACGACAAGGUUAAUCCGAGUGAUUUCUGCUAAAGAAAUCUUUUGCAAGUCAUAAAACCACUAGUGAAUAAGGGGUGGGCAAGUUCUGGUGUCAGCCGCCGCGGUAAAACCAGCACCUCAAGUGGUCAGGAGGAUUAUUGGGCCUAAAGCAUCCGUAGCCGGCUCUGUAAGUUUUCGGUUAAAUCCAUGUGCUCACCGCAUGGGCUGCC